AGUGAACGCUGGCGGUAGGCCUAACACAUGCAAGUCGAACGGCAGCACAGUAAGAGCUUGCUCUUACGGGUGGCGAGUGGCGGACGGGUGAGGAAUACAUCGGAAUCUACUUUUUCGUGGGGGAUAACGUAGGGAAACUUACGCUAAUACCGCAUACGACCUACGGGUGAAAGCAGGGGAUCUUCGGACCUUGCGCGAUUGAAUGAGCCGAUGUCGGAUUAGCUAGUUGGCGGGGUAAAGGCCCACCAAGGCGACGAUCCGUAGCUGGUCUGAGAGGAUGAUUAGCCAAACUGGAACUGAGAAACGGUCCAGACUCCUACGGGAGGCAGCAGUGGGGAAUAUUGGACAAUGGGCGCAAGCCUGAUCCAGCCAUACCGCGUGGGUGAAGAAGGCCUUCGGGUUGUAAAGCCCUUUUGUUGGGAAAGAAAAGCAGCAGGUUAAUACCCCGCUGUUCUGACGGUACCCAAAGAAUAAGCACCGGCUAACUUCGUG
rnacentral:rRNA from 1 species